UAAUCUUUGUGGCUUGUUGGUGUGCUAUUGGGACUUAACCCUAGUCGAGCCUACUUACCAUAUUGUGACUUACCUUAAGUUGGCCAUUGGACUACUAUAAAUUGGUAACUCCCUUUGUCAUGUUGAACCCGUGCUUGAGAGAACCCGAGAGAGAGAGAGGCAGUCUUCUUCUUCUUCUCCUUCAUGCAUCCUGUUAAUCUUCCCUACCAAUAGCUUGAGGCUUUGUGACUCUUACCUGUGUGGUAUUCAUCCUAAGUGUGUGGAAGAAACAACAAGCAAAAGAGGAAAAGCAACCAUAGGAAGUAAGCUCGCCGGCGAUCGUUCACCUCUCGGUUUUGGUGUUGAAUUCGAUGUUUAAUGGUCAACUGAGCCCGGAAAUCACCUUGAGCAGCUAGAGGAAGAUCCUAACAUCUGGUAUCAGAGCUUGGGUAGCAAAAAAGGGCUUAAAAUCGGCUGAUUUUCGGACAUUCAACAUAGAACCCGAAUCUGAAAUUAUUCAAUUACUCACAAACCAAAGCUCGGUUGGACAAACGGAGGCCAUACCCAUUACCAGCAGGUCGAGGCGCCCCUGGUGAGGCAGCGCGUGGGCGGACGGCGGCGGCGCGUGGGCGGUUGUCCGGCGAAGCUGUCUUCAGGUAACUUGCUUGUUUCGAUCUCCUGAACGCCCUAAUAUACUUUGUUUUGUGUUUUAGGUUACACAGAAAAAGUUGGACGAUUUUGCCCCUGGUGCGACGCCGACUGAAAUUGAACAGCAAGCUCGUUUUUUUCUCCACUCUACGGACUCAGAUAGGUCCGCUCUGGUAAAUUGGCUUAAUCCAUUUAAAUUCAACAAUAGCAAGAUCAUCGUGUGGAGUGAUCGUUAGGUUUUAGGGUUACCGUGAAGGGGUAACCAUUGCUUGUGCUAGAACUAAAAUUACUUGCGUUAAUUGAGUGCUUGUUCUUUUGAUUUAAAGUGCUUGGUAUUUCUUGGUGGAUGUAGCAUUUAGGUUCAUUGUUACUUUUGCUAAGAAUUAACAAGAUAUUACCUUAUCACACUUCCCAAUACUACUUCGUGUGGUUUAAUCAGAGUGUUAACCAAUGACAACACAUAAUUUUGAUUUGGGAAUAUUUAACGGUAAAAGGGGACUUCUCU
rnacentral:lncRNA from 1 species